ensembl:snRNA U6 U6 spliceosomal RNA
UUGCUUUGGCAGCAAGUGUACUAAAAUUGGAACGAUACAGAGAAGAUUAGCAUGGCCACUGUGCAAGGAUGACAUGCAAAUUUGUGAAGCGUUCCAUAUUUUA